rnacentral:rRNA from 1 species
GAUGAACGCUAGCGGCAUGCUUAACACAUGCAAGUCGAGGGGAAACGCCAUCGAUAGCGUGCUUUUGAUUGGCGUCGACCGGCGCACGGGUGAGUAAAGCGUCUCCAACCUGCCCAUUACUUGUGAAUAACCUUGCGUAAUUAAGACUAAUACCCAAUGAUAUCCCACGAAGGCUUCGGAAUUGUAUUAAAGAUUUAUGGGUGAGGGAUGGGGCUGCGUCUGAUUAGCUUGUUGGCGGGGUAACGGCCCACCAAGGCACCGAUCAGUAGGGGUUCUGAGAGGAACGGGCCUCAGAUGGUGACUGAGCCACGGGGCAAAGUGCUACGGGAGGCAGCAGUGAGGAAGACAGGACAAUGGGAGAUAGCAUGAAGCAGCCAAGUCGCGUGCAGGAAGGCGGCGUUAGGGGUGGCAGACUUCUGUUAGUAGGCAACAUACAGGAGGACGGAAGAGUUAUUGACGGUACCUGAAGAAUAAGCACCGGCUAACUACGUG